UUUAUUGAAAUUCAAGCAGUUCAAGUCAAAUGAACAGCUUGAAAGGGUACAAAGGUAAGUGGUGAACUGCCAGAGGUAAAUAAAAAAAAGGUAAGCUUAACCAAAACUGAAAAAUAAUGUACAUUUCAGAAUUAUACAAGUACCGGUAGGCCUUUUUCAGGGAACAAGAAAUGGGUUAACAACUUAACUCUAUGGAGUCUUGGGCUAUUUUGUCCAUUUUUGAAUUCUUUUCAUGUCUUUGUAAGUCAUUUUGUGUCUUU